rnacentral:snRNA from 1 species
AUACUUACCUGGCAGGGGAGAUACCAUGAUCACGAAGGUGGUUCUCCCAGGGCGAGGCUCAUCCAUUGCACUCCGGCCGUGCUGACCCCUGCGAUAUCCCCAAAUGCGGGAAAGUCGACUGCAUAAUUUCUGGUAGUGGGGGACUGCGUUCGCGCUUUCCCCUG